rnacentral:rRNA from 1 species
UGGGGAAUUGUUCGCAAUGGGCGCAAGCCUGACGACGCAACGCCGCGUGGAGGAUGAAGGUCUUCGGAUUGUAAACUCCUGUCGAACGGGACGAACACCUUUUCAGUUAACACCUGGAGAGGCUGACGGUACCGUGAGAGGAAGCCCCGGCUAACUCUGUGCCAGCAGCCGCGGUAAUACAGAGGGGGCAAGCGUUGUUCGGAAUUACUGGGCGUAAAGGCGCGUAGGCGGCCUUCUAAGUCAGACGUGAAAUCCCUCGGCUCAACCGGGGAACUGCGUCUGAGACUGGAAGGCUUGAAUUCGGGAGAGGGAUGUGGAAUUCCAGGUGUAGCGGUGAAAUGCGUAGAUAUCUGGAGGAACACCGGUGGCGAAGGCGGCAUCCUGGACCGAUAUUGACGCUGAUGCGCGAAAGCCAGGGGAGCAAACGGGAUUAGAUACCCCGGUAGUCCUGGCCCUAAACGAUGAAUGCUUGGUGUGGCGGGUAUCGAUCCCUGCCGUGCCGAAG